UAUAUAAUUUUUUCUCUAUCUUUCAUUUCUAUCUUUUCUUCCUAUUUUUAUUUUUAGAUUAGCUGUUUCAUUCUGCUACACGCAUCUGUUCUAAAACAGAAGAGAAACAGGUUUUUCUUUACAUUUUCUUUACAAAGUGCUUGUUUCACCCCGCGACUUCACCGCGUAAUGAAUAUACUACUGCAAUUGCACGAUUCCCCUCUAAUGCUGAAGAUCAAUCACCGCGCUACAAGAAAAUCCGUCGCGCAUUCACAGUUAAGUGCCGGCUCUCAAUCAUAAUUAUCAAAAAUCCACUAAUAAUCGCGCGGAGGCCGCUUCUUCAAUGAAACCAAUCGUUUUUACGUUUUGAAGCAAUAUGCGGGGUGCUAUGCGGAAGUGAUAGUGCCGUGACGAGUGGACAGCUUCGACGCGACUCGCAGGGUGGUUUCGUGCCGUCGAAGUUGUCGUGGAUCCACUCUGUCGUCCGGUCUUCCGAGUUCAAGGUCACCGAGUGCUUAGGAGGGUCGCAUGUCCAAGAACGAGCGACGAUGUAUCGGCGUUCAGUGGUCGGCCACAUGGUGAAUUAAGGGUCAGCCCAUUACCGAUUUGACCUCGGAUGACCCGGCAGUGUAUACAGAGCUGGUUGCGUGCUGCUUGAUUCAAUUAACCCUACGACACACAAACACGCACGCGGUGCACACGCAUAUGGCGUGGUGUGUGCAUACGCGAACGCGUUUGCGCGUGUGUAUCACGUCGCUCAAGAUACGAAGCCGUCGUCGACGAGCAGACGAAAGCGCGUGAGAUACGACAGAUCGGUACGCUUGUGGCCUCUUAGAGAAUUGAAUAAAUGCGAUCCAGUAAUCAGUUGCCUGGUGAGGAAACCUGGGGUCAACUGAAACAAGUAAUUGCUUUCGUAAGAGUUAACUCAGUAUCCGGAAACAUUUCGAAAGUAUUUCAAAUGAGCAGAAUUUUAGCUUUAAGAGUGUUCAAGAUGAUGUAAUGAUUAAUCUUGUCCAAUGUUCAUAAAAUUAAUUACAAUCGGCGACUAUCAAAUGGUUACCUAUUUCUUUAAUUAGUAACUGGUAUUUUGUAUCUUUGUCGUAUCAUGAUCAUCAGUAUCGUAUACCUCGGACAAAAAUUAUGAAUAAUUUCCUGCUUGCUCCCAGCAUCGUUGAUCUCGCCGGAAAUGUGCAUGUCCAUCGAGCUUCCUAAGCUACGGGAGCCGAGUGUGACCAAUAUUUCUUGAUUAGAAAGCCGCGCGGCACAUCGGAUGCGAAGGCGUUUGCGAGAAAGGAGAAGCAAGAAAAGAAGGAAGAAAACAACGAAGCAUACGAGCGCGAAGAGCAAAGAACGAGGAGGACGGAGAGGCAACGCACGCUGGAGAAGAGGGAGUCCCAUCUGGUUCGUCGUGGACCACUCGUAGAGAGGAUCCAUCAAUCACGCGUGUCCCGCACCUCUUGCCGGUAGCAAGAACCUGCAGAACGUCUUCGCCUUUGCAACGGCGUCGCCGAGGAAGUCAGGUCCCAUCCUCUGCCUUGAUCGUCCUAGGGUCUCUCGCUCCUCGCAAAAAGUGCGUAAUAAUCCGCGGGCAUUGUGCUUGCGGCGGACGCGAAGAAAAUAGUAUGCGCAUGUUCUCAGUCACCUAUGCGUUGUCUGCUGGAGAGUCAGGGAUCGUGCGACUAUUGACAAAUGGCUUGUGCUUCCGUAUGCUCUCUCCGCGAUGCGGUGGGCGAUUGUGCCCAGGAUUAAAGUAUCGGGAAUACAUAAGGAGAAAGUCGUAGAUUUGAAAAAAUUGGAAAGACAAGGGAGGAGAGAUUGUCCAGCGAGGAAAAAAGAAAGAGGACGAUGGCUAAGGCUCUCUCUCUUUCUCUCUCUCAGAGGCGAGAUUGUGUGUUAAUGUAUGGCUGGCAUUUGGACGACAACCGUGACAAAUUGCUUUAUUAGGUUGGCAGCCCGGGAGCCUUUCCACUCGCAUCUCGCACCUCAGGGCCGCCACUCAUCGUGAUUCUACGCUCUAUUCUCCUCCGCCUCUUGUUCUUCUCCAUUCUCUGCUUCGUCUUCUUCUUUCAGCACACGACAGAAGAUAACGUAACUUGCGGCUGGAUGAAUGGAUGAACGGGGAUGCGCACCGCGGGAGGGCGGUGCUUUUUUGAAAUCGAACCGAUCAACCCAAGCUCAGUUGGUUCAGUGGACCCACAAGGCGAGAUUACCUACAUAUUGGCCCAAUGGGUUGCUGGAAAAUUCCUGUUCUUUUUCAUGCAAUUCAGACCAAUUCCCAGGUCUAUUUCAAGUCUUAUAUAUAAUUAAUGUUAAAGUGUGAAGAGAGAAAGAGAAAUUAUUUGAGAUUUAAAUCACACGAAGUUGCAAGCAUUUAUUCGAUUCUCACAGAAUUGCUGGUUCAAUGCAUACACCAUUUUGAUAUUUGAUACGAUAUUGACAAUUAUAUAUAUGUAGAAAAUAAUUUAAUGCAUUCAUGAAGAAGUUACAAAUAAUAUAUCAGC
rnacentral:lncRNA from 1 species